GAUGAACGCUAGCGGCAGGCUUAAUACAUGCAAGUCGUGGGGCAGCGCAGUGUAGCAAUACAUGGGCGGCGACCGGCGAACGGGUGCGUAACACGUACGCAACCUUCCCGUUACUGUGGCAUAGCCCAGGGAAACUUGGAUUAAUACCACAUAUUACAUAGAGGGGGCAUCCUCUUUAUGUCAAAGCUUCGGCGGUAACGGAUGGGCGUGCGGUUGAUUAGGUAGUUGGCGGGGUAACGGCCCACCAAGCCUACGAUCAAUAGCUGAUGUGAGAGCAUGAUCAGCCACACGGGCACUGAGACACGGGCCCGACUCCUACAGGAGGCAGCAGUAAGGAAUAUUGGGCAAUGGACGCAAGUCUGACCCAGCCAUGCCGCGUGAAGGAUUAAGGUCCUCUGGAUCGUAAACUUCUUUUCUCUGGGGCGAAAACCAGCUAUUCUUAGCUAUUUGACAGUACCAGAGGAAUAAGCACCGGCUAACUCCGUGCCAGCCGCCGCGGUAAAAC
rnacentral:rRNA from 1 species